GUUGUUCUUGACCUGUCACUUAAUAUUCUGCCGCAUGUUUCUGUGUCUGAGGAGGUUAUUUCCGUAUUUGCCUUAUUUCCGUUAUUUUUUCCGUUAUUUCCGUUAUUAUUUCUGUUAUUUCAAUUAUUAUUACCCUUAUUUCGUUUUUUUCCUGUUAUCUCCGUUGUUGUUCUUGACUAGUCACCUAACUUUCUGCCGUAUGUUUCUGACUCUCUUGAGGUUAUUUCUGUUCUUUGCGUUCUUUGCAUUCUUUGCGUUCUUUGCGUUCCUUGCGUUCUUUGCGUUCUUUGCGUUCUUUGCGUUCUUUGCGUUCUUUGCGUUCUUUGCGUUCUUUGCGUUCUUUGCGUUCUUUGCGUUCUUUCCGUUCUUUCCGUUCUUUCCGUUAUUUCCG
ensembl:lncRNA